GACGAACGCUGGCGGCGUGCUUAACACAUGCAAGUCGAACGGAAAGGCCCUGCUUUUGUGGGGUGCUCGAGUGGCGAACGGGUGAGUAACACGUGAGUAACCUGCCCUUGACUUUGGGAUAACUUCAGGAAACUGGGGCUAAUACCGGAUAGGAGCUCCUGCUGCAUGGUGGGGGUUGGAAAGUUUCGGCGGUUGGGGAUGGACUCGCGGCUUAUCAGCUUGUUGGUGGGGUAGUGGCUUACCAAGGCUUUGACGGGUAGCCGGCCUGAGAGGGUGACCGGCCACAUUGGGACUGAGAGACGGCCCAGACUCCUACGGGAGGCAGCAGUGGGGAAUAUUGCACAAUGGGCGGAAGCCUGAUGCAGCGACCCCGCGUGCGGGAUGACGGCCUUCGGGUUGUAAACCGCUUUCGCCUGUGACGAAGCGUGAGUGACGGUAAUGAGUAAAGAAGCACCGGCUAACUACGUG
rnacentral:rRNA from 1 species